AUGUAUCUCUGACAGAGCUGGAGCAGUUAGGGUCUGCCGCUAAGGUUUCCACUAUAGAUGCAAGAAAAAGAAGGUCCUCGUGCUUUUUGUCUGUCUGGUUUGUGGCAGCCAAGAUUGAAUGGGGGAAAUACAGGA
rnacentral:snoRNA from 1 species